UAACGCGAAGAACCUUACCUGGGUUUGACAUAUACCGGAAAGCUGCAGAGAUGUAGCCCCCUUUUGGUCGGUAUACAGGUGGUGCAUGGCUGUCGUCAGCUCGUGUCGUGAGAUGUUGGGUUAAGUCCCGCAACGAGCGCAACCCUCGUCCUAUGUUGCCAGCACGUAAUGGUGGGGACUCAUAGGAGACUGCCGGGGUCAACUCGGAGGAAGGUGGGGAUGAGGUCAAGUCAUCAUGCCCCUUAAGUCCAGGGCUUCACGCAUGCUACAAUGGCUGAUACAAAGGGCCGCAAGACCGCAAGGUUAAGCGAAUCCCAAAAAGCCUGUCUCAGUUCGGAUUGGGGUCUGCAACUCGACCCCAUGAAGUCGGAGUUGCUAGUAAUCGCAGAUCAGCAUUGCUGCGGUGAAUACGUUCCCGGGUCUUGUACACACCGA
rnacentral:rRNA from 1 species